UCGGGAAUUUUGGGCAAUGGGGGAAACCCUGACCCAGCAACGCCGCGUGAAGGAUGAAGUAUUUCGGUAUGUAAACUUCGAAAGAAUAGGAAGAAUAAAUGACGGUACUAUUUAUAAGGUCCGGCUAACUACGUGCCAGCAGCCGCGGUAAUACGUAGGGACCAAGCGUUGUUCGGAUUUACUGGGCGUAAAGGGCGCGUAGGCGGCAUGACAAGUCACUUGUGAAAUCUCUGGGCUUAACCCAGAACGGCCAAGUGAUACUGUCGCGCUAGAGUGCAGAAGGGGCAAUCGGAAUUCUUGGUGUAGCGGUGAAAUGCGUAGAUAUCAAGAGGAACACCUGAGGUGAAGACGGGUUGCUGGGCCACUCCUGACACUGAAACACGAAAGCGUAGGUAGCGAAUGGGAUUAGAUACCCGUGUAGUCCCUGAGCGGGCUGGCAAGGCGCAU
rnacentral:rRNA from 1 species